rnacentral:rRNA from 1 species
UUUUGGUGGUUGGGUAGGGGAGCGUCGCGUGACUGCUGUGAAGCGCUGGGGUAACCCUAGUGUGGAGUGUGCGCGAGUGAGAAUGCAGGCAUGAGUAGCGAAUGAGGAGUGGAAAACUCCUCCGCCGAAUGACUAAGGGUUCCUGGGCCAGGUUAAUCCUCCCAGGGUGAGUCGGGACCUAAGGCGAGGCCGACAGGCGUAGUCGAUGGAUAACGGGUUGAUAUUCCCGUACCCGUGUGUCCGCGCCCAUGGUGAAUCAGGGAUACUAACCCACCUGAACACGCGCCGUUUACUAGCCUUUUAGGUUGGUUGGUGUGUGUGAUGCUGGGGACCUGAACUGGUAGUAGCCAAGUGAUGGGGUGACGCAGGAAGGUAGCCGUGCCACGUGAUGGAUAUCGUGGUGUAAGCGUGUGGCCCGUGUUCUAGGUAAAUCCGGAGCACAUGUGGGUGAGGCGUGAUGCGUACCCGUUUUGGGGAAGUUGGUGAUCCUAUGCUGCCGAGAAAAGCCUCUAGCGAUGUGGAUAUACGGCCCGUACCCGAAACCGACACAGGUAGUCAGGUAGAGAAUACUAAGGCGAUCGGGAGAACUGUGGUUAAGGAACUCGGCAAAAUGCCCCCGUAACUUCGGGAGAAGGGGGGCCAUGACUGGUGACCGACGUGGUUGAGCUGGUUGUGGCCGCAGAGAAUAGAGGGAAGCGACUGUUUACUAAAAACACAGGUCCGUGCGAAGACGGGUAAGUCGAUGUAUACGGACUGACGCCUGCCCGGUGCUGGAAGGUUAAGAGGACCUGUUAGACCCCUUUGCGGGUCGAAGCGGAGAAUUUA